rnacentral:rRNA from 1 species
GGGCCCGCACAAGCGGAGGAACAUGUGGUUUAAUUCGAUGAUACGCGAGGAACCUUACCUGGGCUUAAAUGUUGAGUGCAUGAGGUAGAAAUACUUCUUCCCUUCGGGGCUCUCAGCAAGGUGCUGCAUGGUUGUCGUCAGCUCGUGCCGUGAGGUGUCGGGUUAAGUCCCAUAACGAGCGCAACCCUUAUCGUUAGUUGCCAGCGGGUAAUGCCGGGAACUCUAGCGAAACUGCCGGUGUAAACCGAGAGGAAGGUGGGGAUGACGUCAAAUCAGCACGGCCCUUAUGUCCAGGGCCACACACGUGUUACAAUGGCCGGUACAGAGGGCAGCUACCUGGAGACAGGAUGCGAAUCUCCAAAGCCGGUCUCAGUUCGGAUCGGAGUCUGCAACUCGACUCCGUGAAGCUGGAUUCGCUAGUAAUCGCGCAUCAGCCAUGGCGCGGUGAAUACGUUCCCGGGCCUU